UCGGGGAUUUGGUCUUGGCGGACGAUUGCGUCCUGGUAGCUCGUUGUGAGGAAAAGGAAGUGGACGAAGGCAGUUUUUAUUUUUUUUAUUUUUUUAUUUUUUUGCGGAGGUUGUAAGUUAAGAGAUUGCUCGCUGCGGUAGCUAGGAGCCUUGCUGUUGUCACCAUGUCUUCGUCAGCCGUCCUUACUAGGUGUUCCGCGUGUUUGAGAAACGGAAGUUCGGUGUCUGCGCCUGGGAAUAGCGCUUUGCCUUCUCGGGUGACGCACCUGCGAUCAUCCGCGUUGGUCACGCCACAGAAUGUGAAAUUGACGAUGAAGGGGAUGGUGGGACGAAGAGGUGGAUCGAGCAGGCGUGGGUUCGUGACAGCCAGUUCUAACGAGGAUGACGUUAUUACCACGGAGGAAGUUCUCGGUCUACCGGCUGGCAAGAAGCGGCAAUUUCCAUUACCUGCCUCGGUAGACGAGAGUGUCUCGCAGGCAAGACAAGCUUGCCAGCAAGCGAUUAAAGAUGAAAAAAUAAGAAUGAUGUUGGAGAUCAUUCUUCCCCUAAUUGGUGCAACAGAUCUUGAUGAUUGGCCGGGAGGUAUUGAGAUGCAAUUCAAGGCUGGAGCGCCGCUUGUAUCGACUUUGCUUAGGGGGCUUUUGGAUACGGCGAGUGCUCAAAAAAAAGAUGGUGGUUGCCGCACCUACAUUAUUGACGACAGUGACGCAGUGGGUGGUUGGGAAAGUGACGAAAUUGCUGCGGUUCUUUUCCCUACUCCUGAGACGCUCGACGCUGUAGAGGCCCUGGCUUCUGUGCCCCAUCGUCCUUUGUUGUUGGUGAAUGCCCAGUGGCAACCUGGACAGAGUUGUAAAUCUCUUAGGAAUAUCCGCAGCUUAAAGAGCUCAAAGGAAGAGGUUGCUACAGAUUGUGUCGGAUUUUGGAUUUGGAGCACGUAAGAAAGCACGAGAGGAUCUCGUCAAUACAUUUGAGGUCGUGUAUUUCCUGAAGCGUAGUCGCAUACUCGGAGAAGACGUGUGUCUUAUGCGAAGAUACCCCGGCGAUUGGCAGGUAUUUGUCAUAGAUGAAGCCGGUGGUACUAAUGAAUGCGUUGGAGUUGAAUCCGAGCGACCUUCAUACAGAAGGCUUGAAGAGAUUCUCAAGAGCAGAAAAGGUUCCAAGGCUGGUCAAGGUUGGUUCGACAGACUUGUAGGAGAGUUCAAAUUCAAUCAGAAAUCUCUUAAGAAUGACGACAAUUAAGUUUCUGAAGGCAGACCUUUACAUCAAAUCAAACUUCAUAACCUGAUUAUGUAACGUUUGUACUGUAUUCGAUACAAUCUCGUGAGCUGUUUGGGCUCAAGGGAUUCAAACAAGAGGGUUCUUUGUUCUCAGGUGAGGCUAGAAAUAUUGCUAGGAACAAGUGUAAUGUAGUUGUAGGUGAAAGAGAACCUUGGGAGAGGCGUUCCCUGAUGGAAUUUACUUUUGUUUAGCGCAGUCGUUGUGGAGAUGGGACUUGGCUAUCCAGAAUCCUGCUCUAGACUUCAAUCUCCAUUUCGAGUUGUCGAAACUUAUGUUGCAUUAUUUUAAUUUACUUAUUAUUUUAAAAGUUGUGUACUA